AAGGUGCUUUCUAUUUGGAAAAUAUUUAAAAGUAGAUACCAAAUAGGUGAUGUUGAGUCCUACUCUCUACUGGAUGGAUAAAGAGUGGCUGCCCAGCGGGCAAAACUGGUUCCAUUGGCUAAACAUCUUUUUAGCAACCAUAAAAUAUAUCUUAAUCUGAUUGUAAUCUAGCUAUACGACAAGAUAACAACCCCAAAAUGUAUUUCCAAUCACGUGUUGAUGUCGUCUUUAUCUGGUUGUAAUCUGGUUAUAUGAAGUCCCCUCUACUAUACCAGAAAGCCAGUUUACAACCAAAAAAAUUAAGUUAUUAUGACGUCAGGUGUCAAAUUUUGUCUGCUGGGUGAGGUGUUGCUCCGUUGAAUCAAAGAUGACGGCCUUCACAAUGUGCCACGCCAGUGAGUGAAUUUGUAGGAUAAAUGCUAUCUCAGUGAGAUAGGAUGAGGUGGAGAAUGUUGGUGAAAAGGGGGAAUAAUGUUCGAAGCAUAAUUGAUGUGGCUGUUAAAGUAAAAUGAGGUGAGGUAAAACACAAAAAGACAACAUGGACGACAUGACAGAAAAAUGCAUUUGAACGAGAUGGUGGGAUAAAAAUCAAAAUGAGUAAGGAACAAUGAAACUGGUUGUCUACAUCCCCCUGAUGAUGUGGUGUAUUUUGGAUUGGCUUGUUAUCAAGUAAAUACUUAAAAGGUCUAGAGCAGCAUGUCUCUUGUCCUUUAUCAUUGAAAAAUUAGCUUCUUAGCUUCUUUUGGUUUACCUCUAAAGAUGAACCCCUAAUAAGCACUGUAGCUUAGAUAGAGAAGAAAGAGGAUGACUCUGAAUGUCGUCUUAGACCGCCCAUGCCACACUGGCUUUCUGCUAUCCAUGAGGGAUGGCCUGAUGGAAGAGUACCUAUUAAUAACCAGCGGGUUAUCUUUAGGUCCUCAGCCCACUGAAGCCAAAGACCUACUGGGAAAGGGUCACGGGGUGGCAGGGGGUGGAAGGGAUGAGACAACAUGCAAGAGCAAUCUGCAGUGCAACCACUGAAAAUAUAUGAGAGUUUGAUCCUUUCAGACCAAUGAAAAAGAAAGAGGCAUUCUUGGGUUUCUGUAAAAGUAUUUAAAAUGCCUUCAGACCGGCCUACCUUUGAGAGCGUUUUUUUUUCCUUCUUAAUAUCGGCUAGGCAGGGUGUGACUAUUACGGAGAUCUGUGAAUCUGGCUGAAAAUUCUGACGGAAACAUCUGUCAACAUGCAGACAGGAAAUAAUCCAGGCAGGGUGUGACUAUUACGGAGAUCUGUGAAUCUGGCUGAAAAUUCUGACGGAAACAUCUGUCAACAUGCAGACAGGGUGUUGUACAGUCAGUCAAUCACAUUGGAAAUGUACCUUUUCCUCCCAUUCCUGGCCGGCUUCAGAGAUCCAUCAUCCAAGAAAUUUACAGGACCGGUCCAAUUUCCUGUCUCGUCUCCUUUGAGUCGGCUAAACAGUUGCGCAC